GUCGGUCGUCCCAACGCAGGGGGCAGCACGAGGCGGCCGGGGGAGGCGCACCCACUGGAGAAAACUGCGGGCCGAGGAACGCCCCACGCUCGCCAGCGGCUGCUGCCCCCAAGGCAAAGCUUCGGGAAGACCAGCCGAAAAUCAAGCGCAGACAACCCCCCUUUCCUGCAGAAAGGGCCCCAGACUCCAACGAAAGGGCCCCGACUGCUGAGAAGCCCCUCCCGCCCUUGCCUCAUCUUUCCGACUUCCCUGCCUGCCACGUCUCCUUUCCUUUCCAGCAAGGGCACACCCAGAGGUCCCCCGCUGAAAAGGAUUUGCUGCUUCACCUGAAGAGAGGAAUGGAUACAUCAGGUCUCCAGAGCCACCCUUCCCUGCCUCCAGGCAGGGGGCUCUCUCUAUCCAGCGCCUCCGACCCAUCAGGAAGGGUUAAUUGCCUCAGAACAAGAGAGCCUAGAGGGGGAGAUGCUGAGAGGAAAACAUCCAGGGCUGAGAGAAAACAUGCCGCACACCCCUCCCCCACCACGUACGACCAGACUGACAGCCGGGACAGACUGUCUGCUCUAUCAUCUCCAGUCCAGCCGCCAGGCACCUCCCCCACUGCCCGCCGCAGUCCCUGCAGACCGCCUGCCCUCGGUUCCAGCCACCUGGCACUGGGCAGGGUACCCCAGUGUGGGCAGCGCAGUCUUUGCAGUGGUGGCAGUAACCACUUUCCCCUUCCUCCAUGCCAGGUUCUGGUCCCACCUUUUGUGGGAGUGGGGCGGCUGCUCCCUCACCGCCCUCCUCUCCAAGAGUGCCCGAACUCUACGUGUCAGGGUGACUUAGCUACCUGGCCCCUCAGCCUCACUGGACAAAUUGGAGGUUAGGGUGCCUUGGGGCAGGGAUAGCAGAACACCAAUUAAAUGCGACUGUAGCAGCUGCCCCCUCCUCCAUUAUAAGGGGGGGGGGCAAUAAAGAAAGCUGGAGUUUUAUAGUCCUUUUAUCUGACCCACUCUCUCUUAAAGGGAUCGAAACCCCCUCCUUAAAGGGAUCUCCAGAAAUUAUUUGCCCCCUCCCGCCCCCCAGGCAAAUCCAAGUGCAAUCCGGUCUGUUUGGUCUUUACCUGCUGAGGCCCCUUUCCCUAGGGAUGGGGGAGGCAGACGUGCUCUCCCUGUGACUCUGAGCCGGAAGGGCAAGGCCCCCUCCUGCUGCCAAGGAGCCAGCUGUUGAGUGCCCAGCAAAGAAGAGAAGAACAGGCCCUCUUCCUCUUCUAAUGGCACUCAAUGCCACAGGCUGAGGGGGAAGUCAAGGUGAGGCAGGGGUCAGUCUGCAUAAGAAGUAAAAAGGGGGGGGGUGCUACCUGCAUCCAGACCUUGGGGAACACAUGUCCAUGGCGCGGUGUCCAAAACCCCCAUCUGCCCAGACUGCUGGCCAGACUGCUGGCCAGAGGAAGUCUUUGCCGGCUGCUCCCCACCCCCACCCCCCACUCCCCAAAAGCUAUUUCUGCAUUCUCCUUCUAGCAACUCCCGACUCCUACCCUCUUUAGGGCCCCAGGCCUUCCCCUUGGGGUGCCCUCUCUGCCCUUUAUCCAAGUUGCCUCCACCAAGCCGCAACAACUGCAGACUAAACCCCAUUUCAGGUUCUUCCCUGUCCCUGCCGGCGAGUCCCGGGGUCCGUCUCACCCUCCAGCGCCCUCCACACCCCCAACUCCCAGCCAAGGGGGUGGGGGAUGGGCACACCUCGGCUCCGGAGAGCCCAGAAGAGCGCAUCCUCCCCCUCCUGCUUACUCGGCACCUAGUCCCACCCGGCCCUUGAGGCUGCAGGGUUCGAGGAGGGUGGGUGUGAACCGGGGGGAGGGGGAGGCGGGGUCCGAGGGCACUCCAGACCAAGAGGGAGAGUCGCAAGCAGGCGUUCACUGAAGCUACCCCUUCUGCCCCUCCUCCCUUCGCGCGUGGAGGGUCGAGGCUGCCGCCGGAGGCUUUCCUGGGCGCUUGGGAACCCGCCAAGGCCCCCACCCCUGCCACUCCCAGGAGGAGAGGCUCCCCCAAGGACGGGAGCUGCGAGCCCUCCCCCCGCACCUCCCGCAGCUGCGGCAGCCUCCGGCUGAGGUCAGGCUCCACCUCCUUUCUCCGGAGGGAGAGCGCGAGGAUUGUUUGUUGUUGGGGUGUGAGAGAGAGAGAGAAGGUUCGAGAUCACCUGGCCCGGUGGGCACUGGCCCCGGGAGCGGGCCGAGUGGGCUGGGUUCGGCGGGAGCCCACU